rnacentral:rRNA from 1 species
GACGAACGCUGGCGGCGCGCUUAACACAUGCAAGUCGAACGGAAAGGCCCUGCUUUUGUGGGGUGCUCGAGUGGCGAACGGGUGAGUAACACGUGAGUAACCUGCCCUUGACUUUGGGAUAACUUCAGGAAACUGGGGCUAAUACCGGAUAGGAGCUCCUGCUGCAUGGUGGGGGUUGGAAAGUUUCGGCGGUUGGGGAUGGACUCGCGGCUUAUCAGCUUGUUGGUGGGGUAGUGGCUUACCAAGGCUUUGCCGGGUAGCCGGCCUGAGAGGGUGACCGGCCACAUUGGGACUGAGAUACGGCCCAGACUCCUACGGGAGGCAGCAGUGGGGAAUAUUGCACAAUGGUCGGAAGCCUGAUGCAGCAACGCCGCGUGCGGGAUGACGGCCUUCGGGUUGUAAACCGCUUUCGCCUGUGACGAAGCGUGAGUGACGGUAAUGGGUAAAGAAGCACCGGCUAACUACGUG